GUGCACAGUAAAAAAUGCUGGGUUAUUUUCAUAACCCAAUUUCUGGGUUGAAGCUGUUGGGUCAUAGGUUGGGUUAGUUUGACCAAAUAUUGGGUCAAAAUACAUAACUCAUGAGUUGGGUCAGAAAUUUAUCGGAAGUCUACAUCUUGCACACUUCUGUUGGGCCAGGAGUUGGGUGGGUAGAUUUACCCAAACGGUUGGGUUAAAGAUGAAACUUGGAAGAAGCCACGCCCCUCUUCACAAGCCUCCAUUUUCAACAUGACUGUGAACGUUGCAUAUCGGACUUCUCCUCUACUUUGAAAUAAGACAUGAUUUUGUAAUUUUACAUCCAGGAUCUUCAGGAGAAUUAAGCGAAACCCAAACUCCUCGUUCUCAACGAAGACCUUCUGCAUGACCAAGAACAUGAGUCUGCUCCCUCAAGAAGGUGAUGUAGUCCUGCAGCUGCUGCCAGUACCCCUUCCUGCUCCACCUUACUAAUUUGGGAGAAGAGUUUCAGAUCCAUCAACCUGGAAGUUCAGAAGGUUUCAUUGAUAUCCAGCCUGUUGGGACAAACCUGGUGGUGCAUCUACAAAAUGUGACAACCCGUAUGUCCUCAUGCAGGGAGACAGGCAAAAUGCUAAAGUGUCGUUAAAAAUGCUCCUUGUUUAA